UUUCUCUGUGAAGAAGAGCUUUGCCUCCACUCGUUGCUGUCACGGUAACGAGGUUUGGAAGACUCUAGUUCUUGUUGUGGGAGUUUCGCCUGGAUCAGAGAUGUAUUCUUUUAUAAAGCAAAAUUGUCAAAAACGUUAAUAAUAAGACAAUAACCAAGUCCAUACUUUCUAUCUCCCUCCCAGAGCAGAUCUCCUCGUUCCCCUCAGAGGAGAAUGACUCAGCAGGAGUCAUGCUAUCCUCUCUCCCCGAGUCUUUGUCCACCAGCCAGACGAGUCAACAAGUCAAACUCCUGCUGUGUUUUCCUCAGAUAUAAACCCUGGUGGCUCUAUCAGGACCUGGAGGACAGGAUGUCCUGACCUGGACCUGUUUAUAGGUGUUCCUACAGGAUCUGGUUCCCUGCAGAGCUCUCUGGCCGAGGCUCCAUGCCUCCCUGCCAAUCAGGUUCUUCUCAUCCUGGUCCAGACAGAGACCAGAGCCAAUCAGAGUCCAGAUUCAUUUCCUGAGAGGAAACGGUGGCCGCAACAAGGACGAGAGAACCGUUUGAGGCUUAAAACUCCGUCUCCAGAGACUCUUUUACCUUCGUCUGGUGGCUGAAGACGCUCCUCCAGACUCUGUUCCUCCUCCAGGAGACCCGAGGAACUCCUCCAGCAGACUCUGUUCCUCCUCCAGGAGACCUGAGGAGCUCCGAGUCACAUCUCUGAGGUUCAGCAUCAGAUGAGGCUGUUUGCAGUGUGUCGUCUGUCCUGAUGCCUGAAGGACCACACAGGAGGUGAGACGCCUCCUCCUGCUGCUGGAUG